AGUUCCACCCCUAUUCUUAUUCCUUUGUACAGCUUCUCCUUUGCAUGUCAUGAUUAUGCUAUAGAAAACGUGAAGCUUUCUUUGCUGAUUCAAACUAUAAAAUACUUCACAUUUCAAUUUCUGGCUCUCUUAUAAGUAUUUUGUCGCCAUCGAUGCGUACUGCCUGAGAUGUUUUCUGGUAUGGCAUGUCCAUUAGUUAGUUCAUGAAUUACAUAGCAUCAUCCAAUUUUGAGAGAAUAUGUGAUAUGGUACUUCUAUGGAACUAGAUUAUGAGAACGAAAAUUCCAAUAUUCAUUCACUUUUUCCCUGUAUGAAUUACACGAUUCAGCACCUUUAAAUUAUUUUCUCUUUUGUUUUCUUUUCUGUCCUAUACGUGAUUUUGUGGUUGGUGGAAAACUUUUAGAAAAAUUAAGGCCUGACAAUUUUCUCUGGAUUUCUUUCAGAAACAGGUCUUAGCGCGCUUUGAUAAUAGAUUUCUUACGGUGGCUAUUUUUCAUAAGAGUGCAGCUUUCAUUGUAGUCGGGGCAAUCUAGGUAUCUCUGUGAUUGCAGAAUUAGCAAAAAGUUGUGAGAUUCAAGCUACUGUCCCGUUACAUCCUUUACUCAAGGAUGAAUAUUGUCUGACAUAUACUAUUUUGGUGGGAAUCCUGAAGCAGUUGAGUUCUGCUCAUAUAACUCUUUUCAUCACAUUUUGUCCGCGGCUACAUAUACAUUACCAGAGGGCAUUUGUUUAAACUGAAAAUAAUAUAUACGCUAUACGAUUAAUAAUUCAUUGGGAAUAAAGAAGUGAUGAAACUUUUGUUUGUUCCUAUUA